AUCUUAUCGGUUGAUCCGAUCAG
rnacentral:snRNA from 1 species